GACGAACGCUGGCGGCGUGCCUAAUACAUGCAAGUUGAGCGCUGAAGGUUGGUACUUGUACCAACUGGAUGAGCAGCGAACGGGUGAGUAACGCGUGGGGAAUCUGCCUUUGAGCGGGGGACAACAUUUGGAAACGAAUGCUAAUACCGCAUAAAAACUUUAAACACAAGUUUUAAGUUUGAAAGAUGCAAUUGCAUCACUCAAAGAUGAUCCCGCGUUGUAUUAGCUAGUUGGUGAGGUAAAGGCUCACCAAGGCGAUGAUACAUAGCCGACCUGAGAGGGUGAUCGGCCACAUUGGGACUGAGACACGGCCCAAACUCCUACGGGAGGCAGCAGUAGGGAAUCUUCGGCAAUGGACGAAAGUCUGACCGAGCAACGCCGCGUGAGUGAAGAAGGGUGUCGGAUCGUAAAACUCGGUUGGUAGAGAAGAACGUUGGUGAGAGUGGAAAGCUCAUCAAGUGACGGUAACUACACAGAAAGGGACGGCUAACUACGUG
rnacentral:rRNA from 1 species